GCAGGGGUAGCAAAGCCUGGUUAACUGCGCGGGACUCAAGAUCUUAUGGGUGAUCCCGUCCCUUAGGGGUUCGUGGGUUCAAAUCCCACCCCCUGCA
rnacentral:tRNA from 1 species